AAGAAAGUAAGCAAGGGCGCAUGGCGGAUGCCUUGGCUCUCGGAGGCGAUGAAGGACGUGAUAAGCUGCGAUAAGCUUCGGGCAGGUGCAAAUAACCUUUGAUCCGAAGAUUUCCGAAUGGGACAACCCG
rnacentral:rRNA from 1 species